AUGUAUCAUCAUCAACAACAGCUCCAGAGCCACAACCAGCUCUUAGCUUCUAGGCAGACUUUCCCUUCAGAGAGGCACUUACUUUUGCAAGGAGGAAUUAUUCCAGGAGAGUCAGGGCUUAUACUCUCAACUGAUGCUAAACCCAGGUUAAAAUGGACCCCUGAGCUACAUGAUCGUUUCGUGGAGGCAGUAAAUCAACUCGGCGGACCAGACAAAGCCACCCCAAAAACCAUUAUGAGGCUCAUGGGUGUCCCUGGACUAACAUUAUAUCAUCUUAAGAGCCACCUCCAGAAAUACAGACUAAGCAAAAAUCUCCAUGUUCAAGCCAAUGUCGGAAAUUCAAGAACUGCCGCAGGAUGCACCAUAGCAACAGAGAAACAAUCUGAAGGAAAUGGAUCGCCAGUCGGCCACCACCUUAAUACACAGACAAACAAAUCAAUGCACAUAGGUGAAGCCCUACAGAUGCAAAUUGAAGUGCAGCGACGGCUACAUGAACAACUGGAGGUGCAAAGACACCUGCAACUCCGGAUUGAAGCACAAGGGAAGUACCUACAAUCAGUGUUGGAAAAGGCACACGAGACACUUGCAAAGCAGAAUACAGGCUCGGGUGGUCUAGAAACUGCAAAGAUGCAACUAUCAGAAUUGGUCUCAAAAGUAUCAACAGAAUGCUUCCAUAAUGCUUUUACAAGCUUUGAGGAGAUUGAGGGAUCACAGAUGCUACGAAGGCAGACCAUGCAGCUUGGUGAUGGAUCAGUUGACAGCUGCUUAACUGCAUGCGAGGGCUCACAAAAGGAUCAAGAUAUCCUGUCAAUGAGCCUUUCUGCUCAAAAAGGAAAGGAGAUUGGAGGCAUGGCAUUCGAUCUGCAAAUGAAAGAAAGAGGACACGAAGAUUUGUUUCUCAACAAGCUAAGCAGAAGGCCUCCAAACCACCAUGAAGGACACGAGAGGAGAGACAGCUUGAGUAUGACAUACCAGGCAACGAAAUUGGAUUUAAACAUGAAUGACACAAAUAAUGGAACUCAGAAUAGCAAGAAAUUCGAUUUAAAUGGGUUCAGCUGGAGCUAG
rnacentral:rRNA from 1 species